CUUUGGCCCAGAGUAACCCCGCUCUCGUGACCUUUCCCCUCCAUUCCGGACCUCCGAGUGCUGGCCGGGCGAGAGGCUGGCGGCUGGGCUCUCGCGCCCCUCCCUGCAGGGCUCAGGCUCUCCCCCUCCUGUCUUCUCCGCGCUGUUCCUCGUCAUGGCGGCCCUCAGCAAGUCCAUCCCUCAUAACUGCUAUGAGAUCGGCCACACUUGGCACCCUUCCUGCCGGGUCUCCUUCCUGCAGAUCACCGGGGGCGCCCUGGAGGAGUCCCUGAAGAUCUAUGCUCCUCUGUACUUGAUUGCAGCAAUUCUCCGGAAACGGAAAUUAGACUAUUAUUUACACAAACUACUCCCUGAGAUCCUACAAUCCGCUUCAUUUCUAACUGCUAAUGGGGCCUUGUAUAUGGCUUCCUUUUGCAUUUUAAGGAAGAUACUUGGAAAAUUCUACUCAUGGACUCCUGGCUUUGGUGCCGCUCUGCCAGCAUCUUAUGUGGCCAUUCUCAUUGAAAGAAAAAGCAGGAGAGGGCUGCUCACAAUUUAUAUGGCCAACUUGGCCACAGAAACACUAUUCAGAAUGGGUGUAGCAAGAGGAACCAUCACAACAUUAAGAAAUGGAGAAGUAAGAUGAGAAUUUUGAUAUAGUUAUUAGUUGUUAAUUUAUAGUUUGCGAUUUUAAAAUAUAAAAUGUGAUGAAAUCUAUGAUGCUUUAUCUAAGAGAGAGAUAUCUGAUGUAUGUAAUAUUGAGUGUACCUGAUGAACAAAUCCGUUUUAAUUCAUAGUCAUGUUGGAACCAGAUCUUAGAUUGAAAACAAAUUACUGUCUUUUUACCUUUAGUUAUCAAAUAUCUUUACUCUUAAAAAAUGACAUUUUAUUAGUAACUUCUACAAAUGUUUGUAAUGAAAAAAGAAUUCCUUAGCUUUUGCUUUCUUUCUAUUUUGUGUUAUACAGAACUGAUACUUAUUUCUUAAGAUAAAAUAAUCGGAAAUGUUGAACAUUUACUACACGUGGAGAGAAGGGAAGGAAGAGGGAGAGGGAGAAGGAGAAAAAAGCUGGAGAGGAUUUUGUCUGCAGAUGCUAAGUUUUGACUUUUUAA
rnacentral:sRNA from 1 species